CCGACGCGAAGUAGUAGAGUGAUUUUACCAUUUUACCCUAAUACCCCAUAUGAUUCCUCACCCAUGUCUAGAAUUACGCACUUGUAUAAUAAACUUCAUGAUGUGGAUCUGAACAUAUAUGCACAUACAUAAUUCCUUAUCAACGCUAAAAAGAUUGUAACCUCUAUAUAUACUUUGUUUGUUUUUUAGUGCUGGGCUUUGUUUCGCUUUUAGCAUGCCAUAUACUCAUUCUACAGACCUCUGAUGUUCCUGUAUUUUGUUUGCUCACUUAGCUGCGUUUUUAAGGUGACGAUUACUUUUGUUCAUGUUGCUGUGUUUUCUGUUUGUUUGUUUUUUUAGUGUGAAGCUAAUUUUUUGUUUAUAGUGUACCAAUAACAAGGUCUUUGCAGCUGUUUUUGGACACUAGCACAAAAUAAAGUAUUAUUAUUAUUAUUAUUUCUAGAAAUGUGCCGCUCCAAAUAAUUAAAACAACCCUCACUGUGAAACAUGCCAACAGCAACAUGACAAGAAAUUUCAAUAAAUUGUAUUAAAUUGUAAAUCGUCUUCAUGUAUUAUACAGGGUGUCAUCUAAUCUGGAAAACCUGGGAUUGUCAGGGAAUUUUGAACCAUAUGGAAAAGUCAAGGAAGUUUUAGUAAAGAGCUAAAUCAGGGAAAAUGGCACAUGGAAGUGGUAUGGCGGUGUGCAACGAAACCCAACUGUCGUGCAGCAGCGUGUCUGCACUGAGUAAUGUUGCCAGAAAUGUCACUAGGCAGACCAGGCAACCAUCCAUUAAAAGGGAUGAGCCACUUGGGCUCCAUAAUUUAGCAACUAUGGCGAGCAUAGGACCAAUAGCAGGUCAGAGUUCUUCGGUCGUAUAAGCACUCCUUCGAGAGAAACACCGGUCAGGGAAUUUGAAACAAGUAAUUCGGUAGGCACAUUCAAGCAAAUUCUGAUGUUGUGCACUGCACGUCACAGUUAGCACAGACAAGCAAUGGGCUGUCUUUUUCUUUGUUUCAAUUAUGUAACUGAUACGUGCCAUCAGAAUUGCUAGUGUGGGGGAAAGUGCUAAUUUUGAGCUCCAGCUUAAAGUACUAUUCGGGGCGCAUCAAUAUUCUGUAUGAGCAAAAUGCAAUGAAAAAGUGCUAAUUUCGUGUUCGCACUAGCAGUGUCAUGCAGUGUGCAUGGGGCAGGCCGGGCAAAAUGAAUCGGCACAACCUAUGUCGGUAGUCAUUAACAAAAGGGUGACAUAUCAUUUAAUCUGGUCAGAACACUCAUAUAUUCACCCAUGUCUAUUUGUAGUGGUGGUAGGCUUUCAUAUCUCCCGUGAUCAUUGCACCAGGGUAACGGACUUGGUUAUGAUUUUCAUAUUUUCCCCAUUUACAGAAGCAGUCAGACUGAUAAAAAGCCUGAGUGGUGCAACGCUUGAAGAAAUUGAAGCAGGAGCCAAGGGUUGGCUGAAGAACUGCCGAGCAUGCGUAAAUAGCGCCACAAAAAGGAAGCUUCCACGAGUCUGAGAGUUAAGAAACUUCCAUGAGUCAGCUGGAAACUUCCACAAGUCAUCUGGAUUGCAAGCCAUUAUUUCAUUUCUUAUUGUUCUAAAACUAAUAAGCAGUGCAUUGAAAGCUUCAAUUAUAUUUACGUACGUAUUUUACUAAUAAACAUGUUUUUACAGUUCUUGAA